AGCUUUCUGAAUCCGUGCUGAGAUUUCGUCAGACACCAACACAUCAGAGCUGAUCUGACUUGCAAGACAAUUGAAGUU
rnacentral:pre_miRNA from 1 species